rnacentral:snRNA from 1 species
AUCGCAGGUGCAUGGGCUUGACGCGUAGCAGUGAGGAGUAAUCCGAGCUCGUGUUUUUGCUAGUUGAAAACUACAACUAUAUUGACGCUCCGUAUGGCCCUCGGGUCGUAUGGGUGGGGAAGAGUACGC